AGGAAGGAGGGAAGUGGCCCGUCUUCAGCUCCUGAGCAGCUUCGGCUCUUCCGUUCCCGCAGCGCUGACUAUUCGGACCUUUGGGGCAGAACACAAGACGGUCAACCCCUGCUCCGCAGACCUGACUGCGCUCUGAGGUAAGGAAAGGAAGAGAAAACAGGAAACAUUGGAAAGAUAAAUGGGGUCUUUCCCGUGAAGAUCUGCAGAAACACAAGAAAAAAAUUUCCAUGUGAAAAAUGGUAAACAGCAGUUGAGGAAUAUCAACGAUUAUUGACAGGACUAGGAAAGAUGGCGGAGGAGUAGGGGACCCUAUUUCAGCUGGUCCCCAGAAUUAAGCUGGAUAUCUACCAGACCACUCUGAGCACCCACGAAACCAGCCUGAGAUGUAAGAAGAUCUGGAUCUCUACAAACAGAAUAUCGCAGGCGGUUGGUUUCGAGGUACGAAGCGGGGACCCGUGAUUCUGCGGGCAGAUAUCGGAGGAUAAACGGCAGCAGGAGGGUGCCUGGACGUGGGGAUCCUACACCGCCGUGAGAGUUUUGAAAGGCUGCCAAUGAACCAAAAUAGAAAAAAACAUGCUAGAGAAGAAAAGAAGCAUCCAUAAUACGGUCUCAUCUUACCUAACUCUCACCACCAAAAUGCAGGACUCAGGUCAACAACACAGGGAUCAUCUCAUACAAGCACAAAAGAAGCAUGAAAAAUACUGACCCUGAGCAUUAGAUGUGUUCCAAGCAAGCUAUGCUUCUCUGGGCAAAACAGCCCCACCAAGUCUUGUCAACUUCUCCUUUGGGAGAUGCAGAGACUGGAGGGAGGGGCGGGGGAGACGGGGGAUGAGGCUAGACACCUGUCCCUAGUGGAAAAAGGAACACACCUGGAGAGCAACUCAGACAAAGGGAGCCAAGGGGGAAAAACAGUAAUUGGAGAGGAGACUGCUUCCAAUCUGUUGCUGGGUUUAUAAGGUAAAUCUAUUCCUGGAGGAAAGGGAUAUAGUAGCUGCACACUAAAAACUGGGACAAGGCGUGUCUAUGCCAAACUGUAUCUUCUUCAAGAAGUUUUGAAGCCCAGUUUGAAUCAAGUGACCUGCCUGAGAUUGCCAGGUGUCCUGUGCACAUCUCAUUCAUUCAUUCAUUCAUUCACUCACUUAGUCAUAUUGAGCACCUAACAAGCUCUAAGCACUGUUGAUAAAAAAGUAAACAAGGCAUAAUAGUACUUAGCACACUGCAUUUAUUUGCAUUGGUUUUGGCUUUUUCUCUCCCACAGCAGCUUCUAGGAAGGGGCCCUAUUUCAUUUUUGCAUCCUCAGUGCCUAGAACAAGUGCCUGGAACAGGUUAGGUGCUUAAUGAACGAAAAAAUGACUUUAAAGCAUACUUUUCAUAGGGGGCUAUGUUCUCAAACCUGUAGCCCUAUUUGGGGGGGACAAGGGAUGACCGGUACACAUGACGAGAACGGGCAAGGCAUCUUUAAUCGGAGUACCCACAGCAAUCCAGUUUUCCUGUGGCUUCUAGUCCUCAAGUAAGUUAAAGUACGGGAGUCCAGGGAGGGAUGGGGAAGGUCUGCCGCCUCCUCCCUCUUCCCGCAUGCGGAGGGCUGAAAUUGGGGGACCCGCGAAGGGAGUUCUCGCGAGCCCGCCUGUCCGCCCGCGCUCCUCACCAGGUCAAUGGCCACGACGUCCCGCAGCGCCACGGCUCGCCGUAUGGACUUGGGCGGGUUCUCGGUCAGGUAGAUGAGCCGAUCGCUGAGCACCACGUACUUGAAGGUGUGCUUCUCCGAGUCGGACACCACGAUGCACGGCUCGUAGGCGCGGACGGCGUCGUAGACCUCGGGCGGCAGCUGCCUCCGCAGGAACGCGUCCAGACGGCUAUUCGUGUGCGCAGGGAAGCCAGACCUUGCGGGGCCCGCCAUGCGCGGCGCCCGCGCCCGGAGCGAGUGCCGGCGGCGGGGGGCGGACGCCUCUGCCCGGCCCCGCCUCCGCGCCGCCUGCGGUGGAACCCGCGCGCGCCACAAAGCCGCCCGCCCCGCCGCCACCACCUGCCCCGGGCGCAGGGAGCAGGGCCCCCAACGUCGGUGCCCGUCCAACGAUGGACGGGGCGAGAGGCUGGUCUUUCGGUAAAUCAUCAUCAAGCAUCCCGUGGGCUGCGGGGCGGAUAUUUAGGGGCCCUCUUCGUCCUCUGCUCACAGCAGCCCCAACCCCCCCGCCCGCCUCAGCUAUUGAGGACCAUGCCAUUUCUAACAGACGGUAUUGAUGAGGGAAUCCACAAUUUCAAACUGGUUUUCUGUUAGAAACGAGAUGAAAUUUACCCAUUUAUUUUUUUUUAAGAUUUUUAUUUAUUCAUUUGAGACACAGAGAUACAGAGAGAGAGCAUGAGCAGGGGGAGAGGCAGAGGGAGAGGCAGAGGGAGAGGGAGAAGAAGGUUCCCCGCCGAGCCAGGAGCCCGACGUGGGGCUCAAUCCCAGGACCCUGGGAUCAUGACCUGAGCUGAAGACAGACGCUUAACCCUCCGAGCCACCCAGGCGCCCCUACCCAUCUAUUUUUAAAUAGGCAGAACAACCCUAGAAUCCUACGAAGACCAAUCGCACAGAUUUAUCAUUUGAUUGUAACAUUGCCUGAUACAGUCCUCUAGUUAUUCAUGAGUAUGAACGUAGAUCUUUUCUCUCCAACUAAUUGAAAGCGCUCUCUCUGAAGGAAAUCUUAUAAAUUGAUUUGGCACGCACAAGCCUAAAGGGUAGGCUUGUCUUCCCAAGGUGCAGGACAAAACCCUGUAGACCGUCAGAGCUCAAUCUGUGUAGGAUAAAUGAAUGGGGGAGGCCCGCCUCUUGAAACGUUGAAGAACAGAGGGGGAGGAACGCUAAUUGUGCACCCUUGAAGCGUCAUGACAGUGAAAGUACUGCUUCGUUUUUUACAGAUCAGGAGUCACUUAUUAUAAAUUAAGUUAGAGAGAUGAGACAGGCAUAGAAAUUUGCCUCUAAUAACCCUAGGUAACAACUUCCAUUUUAAUUUCAAACUCUAGAGAAGUCAUUCUCUCUCCCUGCCCAUUCACCCAAAGUACUGGUACACAUUUGUGUGUAUUUUUGCUCCAGCUACCCACAACUCAAAAUCAAAUUGUAUAUUCUUUACUGCAGUUCAUAGUCUCCUCUUCAUCUUUUGCUGUUGUAUAUUGUAUGCUAUAAACAAUUUCAGAUCUUAUGGGGAAAGUAUAAACAAAAUACAUAAAUAGAUAUUGUAGACUGAAUCACUGCAAAAAGGAACUGAGGAGAAAUGUUCGGGUGGCUUACCACUUCUGAGGAACUCAAUAGCAGCAAAGAAAAACAGUAUUUCUUUUAGUGGAGAGAUUGUAUUUAGUGACUAAGGAGAGAAGUGCCACCUGCUGACAAAAUCUUAAAUGACCUAGCAUUCCAAGUUUUCUUAGAAUCUGAUCAGACAUCUGUCUGAUUCUUCAUAACUUCAUAGGUGGAUAAGAAGGGGGCCCCAGAGGCAUGACUGUUUCCUCUAAAAUAAAGACUAUCCAGGGGCGCCUGGGUGGCUCAGUCGUUAAGCAUCUGCCUUCAGCUCAGGUCAUGAUCCCAGGGUCCUGGGAUUAAGCCCUGCAUCGAGCUCCCUGCUCAGCAGGAAGCCUGCUUCUCCCUCUCCCACUCCCCCUGCUUGUGUUCCUUCUCUCAUUGUGUCUGUCUCUGUCAAAUAAAUAAAUAAAAUCUAAAAAAAAAAAAGACUAUCCCCUAUCGAAACCACUCUACAGUUUGUUGCCUAAAACCAACAGAAGGCAAAGGCCUUUUACCUUUGCCAAAGAGCUGCCUCACAAGAGCCGUUCAGAGGCAAAUGACUGCAUUCGAAGUGAAAUGUGAAGUGAAAUGUGAAGCCCAAGCAAGGGAAAAGACCUCAUUCCAAGCUGCUAUUUAGUGUCCGUCAGGCUUUUGCUCCAUACUUGGGCCUAACAGAUACAGAAUAACUGCAGCAGGACUAGAAAAGACAGUAUACCUGACCUAUCUGCCAAGAAACCCAUCAUAAAUGAGCUUGGUGACAAGGCUCUAGACUUGACAAACAUUAAGAUGAAGCCCGUGCAGAAGGGAAUUUGACAAAAGUAGUGGUGGUUAAGGUGACCUCAGCUAAACUUUCAAGUUUGUGGCACACAGAAAAGGCAGCG